GUUUAUGUAGCAAACUCAGGCUGUGCAAAAGAUCUAAGACCUUUUUAUAGAGGUUCAAAUCCUCUCAUAAACU
rnacentral:tRNA from 1 species